UGAGAACUAGCUAAACAGGGUCGGGCAGA
rnacentral:piRNA from 1 species